UACGAACUGUGCGAACGUUAUUCGGAUUCAUUGGGCGUAAAGGGUGUGUAGGUGGCGCCGUAAGUCGGGUGUGAAAUUUCGGAGCUUAACUCCGAAACUGCAUUCGAUACUGCCGUGCUUGAGGACUGGAGAGGAGACUGGAAUUUACGGUGUAGCGGUGAAAUGCGUAGAUAUCGUAAGGAAGACCAGUGGCGAAGGCGGGUCUCUGGACAGUUCCUGACGCUGAGGAGCGAAAGCGUGGGGAGCGAACAGG
rnacentral:rRNA from 1 species